GAUGAACGCUAGCUACAGGCUUAACACAUGCAAGUCGAGGGGUAACGAGAGGAAAGCUUGCUUUCCUUGUCGACGACCGGCGCACGGGUGAGUAACGCGUAUCCAACCUGCCCCCAACUAGGGAAUAACCUUGCGAAAGUAAGACUAAUACCCUAUAAUUUCCUCAGAUGUCAUCUGACGAGGAAUAAAGAUUUAUCGGUUGUGGAUGGGGAUGCGUCUGAUUAGCUUGUUGGCGGGGUAACGGCCCACCAAGGCAACGAUCAGUAGGGGUUCUGAGAGGAAGGUCCCCCACAGUGGAACUGAGACACGGUCCAAACUACGACGGGGGGCAGCAGUGAGGAAUAUUGGUCAAUGGGCGGAAGCCUGAACCAGCCAAGUAGCGUGCAGGAUGACGGCCCUAUGGGUUGUAAACUGCUUUUAUACAGGAAUAAAGUUAGCCACGUGUGGUUAUUUGUAGGUACUGUAUGAAUAAGGACCGGCUAAGUCCGUGCCAGCCGCCGCAGUAA
rnacentral:rRNA from 1 species